AAAGAAAUAAGAAAGGCUUUUAGGAUAAGUGUGGCGUAGAAGAAAAGAAGAUGAGUAGAAAUAGGUAUCGAACUUACAAACUCGAAACACUAAAUUUUUUUUUUAAUAGAGUGAAAUUUCACUAAGAAGGAUAUAAAAGGGUGUAGAAUGUGAUUUUGAAAAUUUUUUUGUUGAAGUGUCUCCAGACUCUUUUUUUUUUACGGAUCUUUCACGUUCUUUUCGUCCGCACCUAGACCGUAUGCAAUUUUUUUUUCUUUUCAAUUUUUUUUGAUUUUUUUUUCGAUUUUGAAUUUUUUUUUCGAACUCUUUUUUUUUACGUACCUAUUUCAAAUUGAC
rnacentral:lncRNA from 1 species